rnacentral:sRNA from 1 species
GUGCGCGACCAAUCUCUGACCGAGUUGGUCCUGUUGUCGAGCACGAGGUCACCUUCGCUCGUGCGGACCGUGAGAACAGUGU